rnacentral:rRNA from 1 species
CGUUCCCGGACCUUGUACACACCGCCCGUCAAGCCAUGGAAGCUGGGAGGGACCUGAAGGCAGUUGCUGCAAGGCGCUGUUUAGGGUAAAACCGGUGACUGGGCU